UCCCAGGGAAGGCAGGAGGGCGCUUCUCCAGUGGGAGCCUGGAGCCGUCCGUAGCGGUGGCUGCCUGCGACCCCCCUCGCGCUCCGGCAGACGGGAGGGACGCGUCCAGUGCAUUUCGCGACAUCCAGCUGUUGGCGCUUGGAAUCUGCUUGCGCGCGGCAGCGGCAGCGCCGACGGCCAGAGGUGCCCGGUCAGCGGGUUGCGGAGGAUCGUGCGGGUAGCAAAGGGAGGGCGAGUGCUCCAGGAGCCCCAGAAGACAACCAGUUGGCUGGGAUGGAGAUGGCAGUAUGGUGACCAUGUUUUGAAGAUGGCAGACCGUCUAGACAGAAGGUGCCUAGGACCCUGAAUCACCAUUUAGAAGAGGGCAGCCCAGCUAUUAACACCUGUUUUGGAAGUUUACAGGACCAAGAAGUCAACUUUUAUUGUCUUAAAUUUCACGGAGAUUUUUUUUUUCUGUCUUCCCAAAGCUAACUUUACAUUAACUAAUACCUGAGUGAGCACCAGCCUCCUUAAAAAACAUUGCAGUUUUUUUUUCUGUAAUUUGGGGUCAUGGUGAGAGAUGGGCCCCCUGAUUUCAAUGGGGAUGAUAGGUCACCUUCAGAGACAAGUUGGGUCUGAUUCCUAUAAUGGACAGCAGAGCCAUGGCAGUAAUCAGAAUGAUUUGACCUGCGGGGAUUUGUAGUGGUGGCUAACUAAACAUAGUUGCCCUAAGACCAAAAUAGAUGGACUUGAUUUAUAUAACCAAGAUAUAUAAACUUUGAUUUGGUUAUAUAAGUCAAGUAAGACCAUUAAGUUAAUUUUAAUUAAAAUAUAGUUUGCAAGAAAUAAAAGAUCCUACUUAAUUUAUAUAACCAAAGAAAAUCUAGUCUAGCAAAUGGAGGCUUGAUCUAAUGCCCAAAAUGUAGAGUCCCAGCCUCUCCCCAAGUUCAUGGACCGGAGCCCCUUGAAUGAAAGGAAGGGUCUACUUGAAGAAGGACCUUGCUACAUUUUUCACAGACUCAGCAGCUAUUCUGAGGGAUAUGGCAACCUUUGGGAGGAUGUAGCAGCAAGGUGGUGUCUCCACAGUAGAAAAUGACUCUGAGGUGAAAAGUUAAGGAGAACCUGGCAGAACUCGCUUUCAGAACCCAGAGCUCCCUGGCCUAGUGCUCCCGUCGGCACUGCAGCUGCUCCACCGACAGGUGAUAGAGACACUGUUCUCCCCUUCGGAAGAGAAAUGCACUUCAGAAACAUGUUUCCAAAAAAUGUUGCUAAGGGUUUUAUUUCUAACAAGAGGAAAAUAAUAAAAUAAAAUUAAAAUAGGUUUCA